rnacentral:piRNA from 1 species
UCAAAAGAACACACAUGGUAUGCACUCACU